rnacentral:sRNA from 1 species
AAUGCUGGAGGUUUCAGCCACAUUGGAUCGUGAGGUGGCAAUAUAUUUGGCCGGCGAAACCAUUCGAAUCACUGUGACAGUGAGCAAUUUGUCACGUGGAAAACAAGGAGUUGUCGAGCAACUGGCAUGGGGAAGCCUUCAGCUUAUUUGCGGUAAUUUUAUGGAAAGUUGGCAAAAAAUUAAAAAUUAGACUUCGAAAACCCAAUUUUCUGAACGAAAAAGCUUGAGAAUUCCGAAAAAAAACCAAAAUAUUCAAUUUCACCAACUUUUCCGAGUCGCAAUCGUCGAAAUUUUUAAUUUUACGCAAAAUUUUUUAAGUUACUCGCAAAAUUAUUUAAAAAAUUAAUUGAAUAAACUUGACUUCCGGCGGCGUUAAAUUCAGAAAAGUGUGCUCCUUUAAGGAGUACUGUAAUUUCAAACUUUUCUUUCUACCGACUUUUCAAAUUUUCAAAGGAUUUUAAUAAAAAUAAAUAUAUAUAUAUAUAUAUAUAUAAAUGAAAAAUCUGAAUAUUCCACAAAAACGAUAGUUUGAAAUUACAGUACUCUUUAAAGGCGCGCAGCGUUACACAUUUGAAAAAAAAGUCGUUUCGAGACCACGAGUACCGUAUUUUUGACGCAAAAAUCUUGGAAUUCGCUUUUUAGUGCCAUUUUUGGUUUUUCAGAGUCAAAAAAAAGCCUCUUAACGACAAUUCUCAAUUUAAACGAACUAUUUUUAUUACAGAACGAACUAUCGGCGCUACAUCAUCAAAUUCCACGCCAUCAUCGCGUCCUCGUCCCACAACUUCUGUUACAAAAUCAGCUGCCACCGUUUAUUCAUCUCAUCCGAAUAUUCUUUUUUGCGAAUUACAACUAGGUCCCGGACAAACAAAACAAUUCGUUUGUGAUG